CGACUAGGGGACCAACCAUAAAAGGCUUUUCACUCGUUGCAUCAACAGUAGCAGGGGCGAAAAUGAAGCUUACCUUAAUUCUAAUGGAGUUCAUGCUCCUGACAGUGGGAAACUCUUGGGUGCACUUUAAAACUCUUGGACCAGGCGCAGAUGGAGGCUGCAAGGGCCCAAACGGCGACAUGGUUGUCCAUGGAAUGCAGGAUGACCCGGAUGUCUGCGGGGUUUUCCAUUGCCAAAACAACGGCGGCGACGUACUCAUCCACUAGCAACUGCCAGAUCCCUGCUGCGUUCGCAGACUGCGCGGAUACUGGGGUGUCGUCAGACAGGCCCUGGCCCGAAUGCUGUUGGACGUGCGUCGAACUAAUAGACUGCGCAAAAGAAGAAACACAAGUAAGCCCAGAUAGUCCCAUUACAUAGAUCCGCAUUUCCAAGGUCCGCCAGAUCUGAUCGUCGCAACCGGAACGGGAUCAGCCAUAGGACAAAGCCAAUAAAUUUAUAAGUCU